rnacentral:misc_RNA from 1 species
GAUGAAGAACGCAUCGAAAUGCGAUAAGUAAUGUGAAUUGCAGAAUUCAGUGAAUCAUCGAAUCUUUGAACGCACAUUGCGCCCGCCAGUAUUCUGGCGGGCAUGCCUGUUCGAGCGUCAUUACAACCCUCAGGCCCCCGGGCCUGGCGUUGGGGAUCGGCGGAGCCCCCCGUGGGCACACGCCGUCCCCCAAAUGCAGUGGCGGUCCCGCCGCAGCUUCCAUCGCGUAGUAGCUAACACCUCGCGACUGGAGAGCGGCGCGGCCACGCCGUAAAACACCCAACUCUUCUGAAGUUGACCUCGAAUCAGGUAGGAAUACCCGCUGAACUUAAGCAUAUCAUUAAGCGGAGGA